GGGCCCCUUUGAAUAUCGACUGUCACAAAGCCCCAUUUCUGGGCAUAGUUACUUAGCAUCCACAAUGGGCUGUGUGGGACCAGCUGUGCAGGCUCAGGAGCCCCACAGAUGAGCAAGACCCAAGCCUGUCCCCCAAGAACUCACAAUCUCAUGGAUUGAAGGCAUGAGGAAUAGGAGGAGUAGACAGACAGGGUCACCUUCCAUCCAGCCUGAAACGUGCCCUGAAGAGGCAAGUCCAUUCGACUGGAGGCACAGAGGAGAUGAUGUCUCCACUUGAGAGUUUAGGGAAGAAGGGGAGCCUGGCGUUGCCACUGCCAGGAUAUACCAGAGGCAGGGCUGUUUUAACCCCAGGAAAGAGCACAUACAAGUUCAUCCACAGAGACAUAGCCCAGGCUUCUUUCUGGGGGAAUUCAAAUAAGUUUGAGAUCAUUGUGGAAGUCCUGACAAUGCCGUGGCCCUCUUCUCAGGAAUCAAGGAUCCAACUUGAGCAUCACCCGGCUGGACUGUCCUGUUCUUGCAAUCCUUCCAGGAAUAGAUUGGCUCAUGACCCAACACUGAGGAGGUCCCUUGUACUGAUGAGACAAGAUUAUGAGAAAAUGGGUUUAAUUUAAAGAAAAUGUUGAUAAGCGUAACAAACAUUCACUCUGCAGAUUACAUAUCAAUGUUAAAGAGUCACCAAAACCUCUA